UACGAAGGGGGCGAGCGUUGUUCGGAUUUACUGGGCGUAAAGGGCGCGUAGGCGGCCUUGUCAGUCAGGCGUGAAAGCCCCGGGCUCAACCUGGGAACGGCGCUUGGGACGGCGAGGCUGGAGUUCGGGAGAGGAGAGUGGAAUUCCCAGUGUAGAGGUGAAAUUCGUAGAUAUUGGGAAGAACACCGGUGGCGAAGGCGGCUCUCUGGACCGACACUGACGCUGAGGCACGAAAGCGUGGGGAGCAAACAGG
rnacentral:rRNA from 1 species